rnacentral:rRNA from 1 species
UACAGGGGGGGCAAGCGUUGUUCGGAAUUACUGGGCGUAAAGGGCUCGUAGGCGGCCAACUAAGUCCGACGUGAAAUCCCAAAGCUUAACUUUGGAACUGCGUCGGAUACUGGAUGGCUUGAAUUCGGGAGAGGGAUGCAGAAUUCCAGGUGUAGCGGUGAAAUGCGUAGAUAUCAGGAGGAACACCAGUGGCGAAGGCGGCUUCCUGGCCUGUUCUUGACGCUGAGGCGCGAAAGCUAGGGGAGCAAACGGG